rnacentral:lncRNA from 1 species
CCACACAAACCUUCCUUUUCACAGAAAAGUUGGAGCAGUUUUUUCAUAACAAUUACCACGGGACAUUUCCACACCGAUUGUCGCGCACGAAGAUCUUCGCGGCGGUGUUUUUCGAAGAACAGACAGGUGGUUCCGCGGACCGGAACCGAGACCCGACGGUGCUAUAAGGUGGCAAAAGUUAUAUAUUUACAUGAAGAACCUGAAAUGGAUGGUAAGACCUGUUGCUGAUGAACAAUGAAGGAAAGUUCACAGCGCACAAACCCAGCAGUCACACAACCUUCUUUCUACAGGGAAGAGAAAUCCAUUCCAAAGCCUUUCUAUGACAAUUAUCGCGCACGGAAGAUCCCUUCCGUGGCGGCGGCUGUUUUUCACAUACAAUGGUUUCGCGGACGGAAACCGAGAUCAACACUGCUAUAAGGUAAAGGCUAAGUAUUUACAUGAAGAACCUAAAAAUGGUAGAGACCUGUGAACAAUAACGGGGGAGGCCUGCUGCUAUCGUCUAUGCACACGAAAUACGGGCUUGGAUAGCAGAGAGAAGGGGAGAAGGAAUGAAACAGGCGGUGUAGCUGGGAUGCUUCUGAACUUCCUGAUUGUUGCUGCAUUGCGAUCCUAGGCGUGUGCGCGUCGGCGGACAUACCUGGGAUCCCUGGAUUGACAAAGAAAAAAUGGUGUGUCAGAGACUGCCGAAGUGAAACAUGAGCAGCUAGGAUUUGUUAUAGUUUCUAGUAAUAUAACUGUUUUCACAGUUAGAAAUGUGGCGUGCACUUG